ensembl:lincRNA
UAAAGGGGCGGGAUGAGAAGGAAACGGCCCCUAUAAAGCUCCCUCCUGCCCUGACCAAGCCAAGUCUGAGGGAGCUGGCGCCCAGCAGAGCUCAACUCCUUCCUGACGGGCGUGGGGUGAGGCGGCGCUGCUUGAGGACAGACUGUUUUCCAAGGUGAGCGCUGUUCCUGUGGCAGCAUGCAGACACACCAAGGACCCACCCUCAGGAUCCCCGGUGCUGAAGAUGGUGUCUCCAGGCCCCCUGAAAUUACCACUGAAGGAGAGUGUGACUGCCCUUGUUGUAGGUGUGGUUUCUUUGCUGUGAUUCGCUGGUGCAUGAGGAGGCCCGAUGAAGAAGAUUGUUUGUCGAACAUCUCGGAAGUGUCUAUAAAAGGGAGAGUUAGCACACCUUUCGGUCACUGUGCUUCCAGUGGUACUUUUCGGCGGAAUCACCAGCUUUCUGUUGACGAGGGUGAGGGAGCAGCUUCCUCUCCCGGGAGAGCACCUGGGGGGGCCACCGGGCAGGUGGGAGGCCCGGGACAAGUCCUAGGGGAGGGAGAGGCCCCCAUGCCCCAGUCCCUGCCCUGGGCACCCCUCGUCUCCUCCGGUGGCCACAGCCCAUGCUGAGCCGGCCCCUGCCCUUGCAGAGAUAAAUGCAGACUCGUGGGGACAAGUGGACUCCCAGGGGCCUCACCCAGACCCGGAGGACAGGAAGGAAGGCUCCACCUGCACAGGAGUGCUGUAGCGCCACGUGCUGGACACAUUUUAAAUUUUGAGUAUGGGCAAAGUACACUUUUGGGCAAAAAAAUAAAAAUUCAUUGAACACACAAUGAUUGAGCACCUACAGCAUGCCUGACUCUGUGCCAGAACCAGGCUGUGGGUUCCAGUAUUCUGGGUCCUUUGAGGCCCAGCUCCAAUCCCACCAUCCCUGGAGCCCCCUUCCCAGAGCUGCCUGGCCUGGGCCGUCCCUCAGACCAGGGGACUUAACUGGGGCUUCUGACCUGCAGGCCUCACACCCUGGGCCCUCAGCCUGGGGGACCAGCCACUGGCCUGGACACUAGGUGGGGCCCCUGAGGCCUCCCCUUCGUGCUGCCCUUGGACUGAAAUGGGGCAGUGGGAUCCCCGGGCUGGGCUCCUGGGAAUCCAAAGAAGCCCUGACUCUCCCUGCAGGGACCUGCAGGGCAGCUCUCCUGGUUGACUUGAAUCUACCCAGUUCUCUGUCUUCUUUGUAGUUCUCGACAAUAACUAUAGAAUGCUGAGAACACAACAUCCUGAGAUAGAGAGGCACUGCCAGAAACAGCCCAGGCCUUGUUGCUGUAGCUCCUAGGGAAUGAAACAUCUUGAGUUAAAGGAGUGUCCACCUAAAGGACAAAACUGGGAUGUCCGUGGUGGCUCCCACCUGUAGUCCCAGCUCUUUGGGAGGCCAAAGCGGGAGGAUCACUCCAGCCCGGGAGUCUGAGGUUGCUAUGAUCGCACCUCUGCACUCCAGCCUGGGCAACAGAGCAAGCCUGUCUCAGGAAAAAAAAAAAAAAAAGAAAGAAACCGAAGCAAAAUUCAUGUAAGUACAGAGUUUAUUUGGGCCAAGAUGGGGACAGCUGCCUGGAAGACUCAUACCCUGGUCACCUGGUAUAGGAGCUCCUUUCAGCCUUUGCUAUACAAGCAGGUUUUUAAAGGCAAAAAGGCAGACAAGGAGUGUGCUGAUGGGAAGUUGUUUGUCAGGAAUUCCCAUUGUUUAGAGAAAUGACAUUGAUUAGUGAGGGGCUGUACAUUGUUGAACUAUAGGGUAUGAGUUAUGGUGUCCAGCAUGUGGCAUUUUUUGGUGAAUUUAUAGCUACCUCUGGCAACAGUCCCCAGCCCAUGGGGAGCAGCCUCAGAUGACUGCUCAGCCCAAGGCAGGAGUGGGACAGGGCUGCCUGGCCAUCUGGAGGAGGUGCCCAUUCCUGAGAUAGAAAGUUUCUUUUCUUUCUUACUAGGAACUACCCGGGACAGCCCGGCAUUGUUCCUCCUUCCCCUGGAAGCAGGAUGUCCUUCAAGCUUUCCCCAGUGGGUCCUGCAGCUCUCCAGCUGUAUAACCCGGGGUGAGCUGCCUUCGGGGCCCCUCAGCUGCAGUACAAGUAGGACAUGCGCAGUGGAGGCUCGUCCACCCCAGGCAGCAUUCCUGAGCCUUGGGGGACCCGCUCUGUUGUCCCUGACUGACUGUAAGUAAUAAACCCUCUUCUGAUGACUUUCUCUGCGUGAGUGCAUUCUGUGUCACCGGACUCAGGUGCGGCACACUGCAGCCAGAAUGCAGGGGGUGGAAGGAACCAUUUGGACUCCUGUUCCUGGCAGGUGGCACAGUGAUGGUCCCUGCUGUCCUCCACUCAGGAAUCCUCCCUUGGGAUUGGCUCUGAGUGACCUGCUUCCCAGGACCUGUCUCCAGGAGGCCUCAGGCCCCCUCCUGCUGGUCCUCCCCAGGAAGCCCGCAAGACCACCCAAGCUAUACAGGCCCCUUGAAGCCUCUCAGGACUGAUGCCCCCCCCUGGUGCAGGGGACACUGCCAAGAAAGGUGGCUCCAGGGUUCUGCAGAGGAGCAGGUUGGCCCACGGUUUUCAGUGGGCAGGGAGGGGCACCAUCCUGCCUGAAGGACAUGACUUUGCCACAUGUUCCUUGUGGGUGGUUCUGCGGCUGAGGAAAAUUCCUGGGAACCUCAAGCCCGUCCUAAGCCCCCUGGCUGCCAUCCUUGCUAGAGGAGCUGAAGGAAACACAGAGUUACCUCAUUGAACAGGAGGUGAGGGGUCCCCCCAGAAACGCUGGGGGCAAAGGCCUCUGCCUCCAGGUACUUUCCCACACCUGGUCCUUAAUCUUUGAAAACUGCCACUGCCAGUAAGAAAACAGAUUGUUUUUAAAAUGUACAGUUUGGAAGCUAAUGCAAGAAAACCGUGAGCACACUUAUGUAGAGUUUAUUUGAGCAUUUAGCGACUCAUGAAAACUGUAGCACCAGACUGCAGGCAGCCAGCGCUCAUGGCAGGGUGGAGGGGAAACUCUUAUCAAGUGUUUGCAGAAGCCAGACAAAGAAAACUAUUUUGAUUGGUUAGAGUAGAAAGUUCCUAGUUAGAGAUGAGUUGGAGGUUUCUGACUGGUGCAGUUUCUAGUUUAAAUUUAUUGUUUGCACUGGGCUUUAGUUUGUUCACGUAGGAAUUUAAAGUGCCAGCGCCACCCCAGUGUAAUGGCCUCCCAAGUAGAAUUUUUUUUUAAACAAUUCCCCCCUUUUGGCCAGCCUCUUUCUUAUGAGAAAUUUACCAAAACUUGGGCACGAGUGCCAUUGUCUGUCACCAUCAUGAGUGAGCUGUCGUCUUCUCUGUGAGAAACUCCUAAGUCACAACAUGAGGCUCAUUGAAGAAAGAUUCCUUUUAUUGUUCAUCUCAGGCUUUUUUUUUUUUUUUUUUUUUUUUUUUGCUCUAAUCACAGGGAGACCAUCUGGCUACCGUGAGUGGCACACGCACACAUUGAAGGCCGUUGAGGGACUACAGCUGUCAACCCAAAAUAAUCAGAAAGUCAAAGGUCUAAUUUAAAGAGAGGUUUAUUCAAGCGCAAAGUCCAGAGAAAUGGAGUCAGUGUUCCAAAGUAGGGAAGUUAAGGUUUGGUUUAUAUAGUCAGAGGCAGAGGACUUUUGAAGCAAUGUUACAUUAUUCAUACGAGGUUGGUGCACAGGUAAGCAGUCUGACUGCUUAUUAUAGGCAGUGUUUCUUUUUGGGAAGGGUACGU